UAUUCUUCACAAGUCACAGAACAGGUACGAUGAAUGUUUACGACAGUCAAAGGAAAGCGGGAAAAUCUGGAUUUAAUUAGCAAAAUUGUGAUGAAGCUGUGAGAACAUCAGUCAUAUAUCUGAUUCAAUUUGACCCCAUUGUCUUCUUGUCAAGAUCGAAGAAGAGCUUCCGAUGAGACGUGAAGCUUUGGACUGAAGCCUCAAGGGCUGGAAGGCGUGGGCCAUCAGAUCGACCAUCUGCAGCAGAGCUGAGGCCUCGCGCCGUCCUGCAAAGGGUUAAACGGGCGGUCGGCCCGGCGGCGGCUUUACCCUCCCCGCGCCAGCCUCGCUCCUUCCCUCUCUCAGCUCCGCCCCGCUGACUCAGUGACAGCCGAGAGGAAGUGCUUUCCGGCCCGCCCGCUAUCUGCCGAUUGCAGGCUGUUCAAGGAAGAGCCCGGGGCGUCUGGGUGGAAGCUCAUCUCCAGGUUGGAAUAUCAGAAGACUGCAAGAGUAUUUCCUUCCUCAUAUCGUUGGUCCACAGCCAGAUAAUCCCUAUUUACCCUGAUAGUUCGAAGAGCUCCAUGUCUCUUUGAUCAAGUCCCAAGGAGAUCAGUUUUCAUUGUCUCAAAGAAAAGUCACAGAGGUGUAGCCAGUGGUAAUUACCUUCAUGGAGACCGAGAGCCAUAACAGUCUUCAGGAGAGACCCACA